rnacentral:rRNA from 1 species
AGUAAACGCUGGCGGCAUGCCUUACACAUGCAAGUCGAACGGUAACAGGUCUUCGGAUGCUGACGAGUGGCGAACGGGUGAGUAAUACAUCGGAACGUGCCUAGUAGUGGGGGAUAACUACUCGAAAGAGUGGCUAAUACCGCAUGAGAUCUACGGAUGAAAGCAGGGGAUCGCAAGACCUUGUGCUACUAGAGCGGCCGAUGGCAGAUUAGGUAGUUGGUGGGAUAAAAGCUUACCAAGCCGACGAUCUGUAGCUGGUCUGAGAGGACGAUCAGCGCCACUGGGACUGAGACACGGCCCAGACUCCGAGGGGAGGCAGCAGUGGGGAAUUUUGGACAAUGGGCGCAAGCCUGAUCCAGCAAUGCCGCGUGCAGGAUGAAGGCCUUCGGGUUGUAAACUGCUUUUGCACGGAACGAAAAGCCCUGGGUUAAUACCCUGGGGUCAUGACGGUACCGUAAGAAUAAGCACCGGCUAACUACGUGCCAGCCGCCGCAGUAA